CGGGGGAGGCCGGAUCCUGGGUUGUGUCCCCGCGCCUUGUGCUCCGGGGCCUGCGCUGUUGGAUUUGCGCUCCCGGGCCGCGCAGCCCCCU
rnacentral:pre_miRNA from 1 species